UACGAAGGGGGCUAGCGUUGUUCGGAAUCACUGGGCGUAAAGCGCACGUAGGCGGGUUCUUAAGUCAGGGGUGAAAUCCCGAGACUCAACCUCGGAACUGCCUUUGAUACUGGGAAUCUUGAGUUCGGGAGAGGUGAGUGGAAUUGCGAGUGUAGAGGUGAAAUUCGUAGAUAUUCGCAAGAACACCAGUGGCGAAAGGCGGCUCACUGGCCCGAUACUGACGCUGAGGCACGAAAGCGUGGGGAGCAAACAGG
rnacentral:rRNA from 1 species